rnacentral:rRNA from 1 species
AGUGAACGCUGGCGGUAGGCCUAACACAUGCAAGUCGAACGGCAGCACAGUAAGCGCUUUCUCUUACGGGUGGCGAGUGGCGGACGGGUGAGGAAUACAUCGGCAUCUACUUUUUCGUGGGGGAUAACGUAGGGAAACUUACGCUAAUACCGCAUACGACCUACGGGUGAAAGCAGAGGAUCUUCGGACCUUGCGCGAUUGAAUUAGCCGAUGUCGGAUUAGCUAGUUGGCUGGGUAAAGGCCCACCAAGGCGACGAUCCGUAGCUGGUCUGAGAGGAUGAUCAGCCACACUGGAACUGAGACACGGUCCAGACUCCUACGGGAGGCAGCAGUGGGGAAUAUUGGACAAUGGGCGCAAGCCUGAUCCAGCCAUACCGCGUGGGUGAAGAAGGCCUUCGGGUUGUAAAGCCCUUUUGUUGGGAAAGAAAAGCAGCAGGUUAAUACCCCGCUGUUCUGACGGUACCCAAAGAAUAAGCACCGGCUAACUUCGUG